AAUGAACGUUGGCGGCGUGGAUUAGGCAUGCAAGUCGUACGGGUCGGUGUAGCAAUACAACGGCAAGUGGCGAAAGGGAGAGUAACACGUAGAUACCUACCCUCAGGUCGGGGAUACCGCGGCAUAACCGCAAGUAAUACCCGAUAAAAUCUCCGGAUCAAAGGUGUGAUUCCGCCGGAGGAGGGGUCUGCGUUCUAUCAGCUUGUUGGUGAGGUAAUGGCUCACCAAGGCUAAGACGGAUACGGGGUGUGAGCGCAUGCCCCCGCUCACUGGGACUGAGACACUGCCCAGACACCUACGGGUGGCUGCAGUCGAGAAUCUUCGGCAAUGGGCGCAAGCCUGACCGAGCGACGCCGCGUGCGGGAUGAAGGCCUUCGGGUUGUAAACCGCUGUCGAGGGGAAUGAAGUGUAGGUGGGUACUCCCAUCUAUUUGACAGAUCCCUGGAGGAAGCAUGGGCUAAGUUCGUGCCAGCCGCCGCCGUAACAC
rnacentral:rRNA from 1 species